UAAGACAUGCAAGUCGAACGAGAGAAUUGCUAGCUUGCUAAUAAUUCUCUAGUGGCGCACGGGUGAGUAACACGUGAGUAACCUGCCCCCGAGAGCGGGAUAGCCCUGGGAAACUGGGAUUAAUACCGCAUAGUAUCGAAAGAUUAAAGCAGCAAUGCGCUUGGGGAUGGGCUCGCGGCCUAUUAGUUAGUUGGUGAGGUAACGGCUCACCAAGGCGAUGACGGGUAGCCGGUCUGAGAGGAUGUCCGGCCACACUGGAACUGAGACACGGUCCAGACACCUACGGGUGGCAGCAGUCGAGAAUCAUUCACAAUGGGGGAAACCCUGAUGGUGCGACGCCGCGUGGGGGAAUGAAGGUCUUCGGAUUGUAAACCCCUGUCAUGUGGGAGCAAAUUAAAAAGAUAGUACCACAAGAGGAAGAGACGGCUAACUCUGUGCCAGCAGCCGCGGUAAUACAGAGGUCUCAAGCGUUGUUCGGAAUCACUGGGCGUAAAGCGUGCGUAGGCUGUUUCGUAAGUCGUGUGUGAAAGGCGCGGGCUCAACCCGCGGACGGCACAUGAUACUGCGAGACUAGAGUAAUGGAGGGGGAACCGGAAUUCUCGGUGUAGCAGUGAAAUGCGUAGAUAUCGAGAGGAACACUCGUGGCGAAGGCGGGUUCCUGGACAUUAACUGACGCUGAGGCACGAAGGCCAGGGGAGCGAAAGGGAUUAGAUACCCCUGUAGUCCUGGCAGUAAACGGUGCACGCUUGGUGUGCGGGGAAUCGACCCCCUGCGUGCCGGAGCUAACGCGUUAAGCGUGCCGCCUGGGGAGUACGGUCGCAAGAUUAAAACUCAAAGAAAUUGACGGGGACCCGCACAAGCGGUGGAGUAUGUGGCUUAAUUCGAUGCAACGCGAAGAACCUUACCUGGGCUUGACAUGUAAUGAACAACAUGUGAAAGCAUGCGACUCUUCGGAGGCGUUACACAGGUGCUGCAUGGCCGUCGUCAGCUCGUGUCGUGAGAUGUUUGGUUAAGUCCAGCAACGAGCGCAACCCCUGUUGCCAGUUACCAGCACGUGAAGGUGGGGACUCUGGCGAGACUGCCCAGAUCAACUGGGAGGAAGGUGGGGACGACGUCAGGUCAGUAUGGCCCUUAUGCCCAGGGCUGCACACGUACUACAAUGCCCAGUACAGAGGGGGCCGAAGCCGCGAGGCGGAGGAAAUCCUGAAAACUGGGCCCAGUUCGGACUGUAGGCUGCAACCCGCCUACACGAAGCCGGAAUCGCUAGUAAUGGCGCAUCAGCUACGGCGCCGUGAAUACGUUCCCGGGUCUUGUACACACCGCCCGUCACAUCAUGGAAGCCGGUCGCACCCGAAGUAUCUGAAGCCAACCGCAAGGAGGCAGGGUCCUAAGGUGAGACUGGUAACUGGGAUGAAGU
rnacentral:rRNA from 1 species